UGGGAACGUGCCUUUCGGUUCGGGACAACCCAGGGAAACUUGGGCUAAUACCGGAUACGCCCUUCGGGGGAAAGAUUCAUUGCCGAAAAAUCGGCCCGCGUCGGAUUAGCUAGUUGGUGGGGUAAAAGCCUACCAAGGCGACGAUCCGUAGCUGGUCUGAGAGGAUGACCAGCCACACUGGGACUGAGACACGGCCCAGACUCCUACGGGAGGCAG
rnacentral:rRNA from 1 species